rnacentral:rRNA from 1 species
UACAGAGGGUGCGAGCGUUGUCCGGAAUCACUGGGCGUAAAGGGCGCGUAGGUGGCGCGACAAGUCAGUGGUGAAAGUUCGACGCUCAACGUCGAAUCGGCCACUGAUACUGUUGGGCUUGAGCACUGUAGAGGCUAAUGGAAUUCCGGGUGUAGCGGUGGAAUGCGUAGAGAUCCGGAAGAACACCGGUGGCGAAGGCGGUUAGCUGGGCAGUUGCUGACACUGAGGCGCGACAGCGUGGGAGCAAACAGGG